UGAGACUCCGUCUCAGAAAAAAAAAAAAAAAAAAAGAGUCCUUCAUCCGUCUUUAUAACCACUCCUUUAUGUAGACCAGCUCUUCUGCAGCCAUCACUCACAGAACCUAUAUUACCGCCUGACAAAACUCUCAGAAGAGGAAUAAGCACUGCAGUCAACCUGUACCCACACCCCAGCAACAGAAUAGGGCAGCAGAAAAAUAUGCUUAUGACCCAACUCUCAAACAGGCAUUAAGUAUGCCCAGCAAUCCAGUUACGUUUGACUAGUAAAUUUCCAUUCCUACUCUCCAAGAUGAGAAUGUAUAACUUUGUAUCCUCCAACAGCCCUACUCUCCUUCCUAAUUUGACUAUUUAAUCUCUAUUUUUUAAGGAAACAAAAGCAGUCAAAAGAAUGACUUCAUCAUCCGAACUCCAAAUCUACCAUCUUACCUGUAUCUUUACUCACAUUUGCAGUGCUUAUUCUCCUAUAAUGGAUGAGAUGUAACUUCAGCAACUUUUCACUAGUCUAUAUUUUAUCCCAUAUCACUUCUCAACAAUUUUACUUCUGUACUUAUUUACUUUCUCCCCUCAUCAUCAGUGUUUCUUUCUGCUGAACCGCUCCCUUCAGCAUAUACACAGACCAAAAAAGAACAAAACACGCUUCUUCAAUCCUGUAUCAUCUUCCAACUACUGCUUCAUUUCUCUGAUCCUUGUUCUAGCAAAAAGUCCACUAAAGAUUUGUUGCUGCUUGCUCAUGUCCCAGGUUCUCUUCAACCUAAUUUAAGCAGGCUUUUUCCUUCUUUCUUGUUGUCAAUAUAUAUCACCAAUAUGACCUCCACGUUUCUGAAACCAGGGUUUAUUAUUUACGUUCAACCUCUGGACAGCAUCCGAUAUGGCUGACUUCUCUUGAAAUACUGCAUUUGGUUUCUGGGACACCAUGUCCUACUGGGACUUUGAUGUAGCUACAGUUUGUUCUAAUGUUAUCACUAAGUAUGUUCAGGGUCUUCCUGUGCUUUUGGAAUUAAAGAUAUUACCUAAAAUGAAGAAGCAAGAGAUGUACCUGAUCAUACUUCACUUAGAAAGAUAGGAACUGAAAAGUCACAAAACACACAUUCAGAAGCUGUCCUUUACCCUCAAAAUUACUAGGAAGUCAGCUUUAAAAUCAAAACACAGAUGCUUUUUGACUUGAGCAUUCCACUUCCAGCAGUCUAUCCUACAGAAAUGCGACAAAUGGUCAGAAAACCCCUAUAAACACAUGUACUACUACAUUAUUUAAAGAGAAGAAAAUGUUGGAUAUAUCUGAGUGUCUAUAAAUAGGGGAAGAGUUAAAUAAAGGGAAAAAAGAAAAUAACAAUACCCAUGGUAUAAUCAUAAUUAUACUGAACAAACAAAAAAGGUGUGUGUUUAUGAAUGCAUAGCAAAUAGUCUGGAAGCACAUAAAAGGUAGAAAAGCUUCAGAGAUUACAUGGGUUACAGAGGGAAGAGAAAAGAAUGGUGACUUCCUUUUUGAUUUUUAAUAUUAUUUUCAGUGUGCAACACUAACUUACUUGUUUUCAGCAUAUAACACUUUUGAAUUUCUUAAUCACGAUUUUUAUCAUGCUAAAUAUACAUCAUGAAAAUACAUGAUAUAUAUUUAUUUCUUUGGAUUUUUCCCUACUUUAAAAAGGGGGAAAAAACUCAUUUCAACCAAGGUAUCAUGUUAUACAGUUACUCAAGCUUCCAGGGAAAAAUAUAUCUGCCACCGUAUGGGUCUAGAGUAUUGUUUUCUAGGUAAAGUAGGCAAACAGGAGUGAAAGUCAACGAGAUUUCAAUUUGAAGUUUCAAGAACUCUUUCAAUACGGCUGUAACUGCCAUUUCUUGAGAAUUCAGUGCCAACAUUUCCUCUGACCACAGAAAUGUUUCUGGACUACUUUAUUGUCCUUCCUCACCUUUCCUCUGGCUUUCCUGUGAUAUUUUUAUCAGAGCAUCUCAGACAGUUCUUUUCAGCUUGCAAAGCCAUGCACUUGUCCUGAAGCCAGGCCAGCUACUCUGAGCACAAGCCUGCCCGUCAGCCCACCCAGUCAGACUCUCCUCACUGCAGAACACUGAAGACAGAGUUAUGAAAGAAAAACUGUUUGAGCAUGCGCAAAGAGACCCCAGGAAGGCCCUACAAGGGCGGGAAAAAACCCAACUUAAAAUUAUAUUUCCUUGCAACAUAAAUGAAAAACAUAAAGAUAAUAUCCACAGAUAACUACUUUCACUAACUCAGAGAUGACCCUCAGAAAUCAUCUCAUGAGAUGAUUUUUUUUUUUUUUUUUGAGAGUUCCCAGGACCCUCUAUCCUACCUCAGCCAGAUCUGUAGUUUGAAACCAUGCAGAGAUAAAUACAUACCUGAUUUUUGGGAAACACUUUUGGAAAAUGAAGCAGUUCAUAAGCUGCUGUUCUGAUAAUGAAAGGAUCUAAUAUUCGGAUUUGAUAAGGUUUAUAAAUCAGGUUUAAGGCUGGUUUCUUCCAAAAACCAUUAGUGUUCUGAAAGUAAGAAUAUAGAGAAUAGAACAGUGUGGCUGUCUGUUUUUUAAGGAAAAAAAGCACUACAGGUAAUCUGAAGGCAGAACAAUUUUGCCUACUUACUAUUUUGUCACCCAUCAACAAUUCCAACAGCCACCUUAAAUCAUGUGGCUUAAAAGCAGUGAGAAUCACUGUCGUAUUAGGGUCAUUGUGAAUGGGAUCUGAAAAAACAGAUUCUGGAUAAAAAAGUCGGAAGGUUGUCCUUCUCCCAACUUCUUCUUCGUGUCCUAAAACAGGACCAUUAUUCAUUCUGUGGAUAGUAAAACAUACAAGAUAUGUAGACCAAGUGCAGUAUGUGCCAUUUCCAUCACAGUUCUCAGAGGUUUCAGAGUUGGACAAACAUCAGCCUUUAUCCUGCACUCUGAAGCCACAAAGCAACAGAUCAAUCUUUCACACAUAAUGGCCAAGAAGAUCAUUCCUUUUCAUUAAAUCAUUGGUUGAUCAAAGGCAGAAAUACUCAUUUGUAUUUGAAAAUUAAUUGUGGAGCCAAUGAUAAUUCAGUCUUCCCUCCAGGGGAACUGAAGACUAAAUUAAAAAAAUGGGAACACAGAGCCCCAGGAUACCAGAGUUGAAAGAGACCUUGGAGGACAAACCCCUGGAGAGAAAAUUACUUGCUCAAAGCCACACAGUCAUAUAGCACAUGGAUGUGUGUGACUAACAGGGAGCACAAACAUUGCUCUUAUCCACUGCUAUCUCUCCUGUGGCUAGAAGCAUGCUGGCAUACUAAGAAACUUAACAAAUAUUUGCUAAAUGAGUAGCCUGAAAUCUAGGCCUAACUCUAGCCAACAACCAAGAGAGAAGGUUGUGCAAUAAAAUACACUAACAAAUGGAAACAUCUCCCCUUCCUUUUAAAACACAGCUGUAUUAAGGGUAUGCUGUUGGACAGAUGGACAAGAGAGAUUGAGCCAUCUUUUACAAAACUGGUUCCAAGAAUCCACGCGUACUGUCAGAAACCCAGUGCCACAUUCCACUUGUUGCGCAAGUAGAAAAAGAACCAACCGCGACUUAGAAGUCUAGAGCUGUAUUAAAAAGAUACAAGAUUCAAUGAGUAACAUUCUACAGGAAGAGCAUAUCAUUGUACGCAACUAGUAUCAGCCCAUACACGUUCUCUCAUUUGAUUCUCAUAGCCACCUACUGAGAUAAGUAAGCCUGAUAUUCCCAUUAUACAAAUGAAGAAGGAGGUUCAGAAAUCUAUUAUGUAAUAUUUUAAAGUCAUACUCCAAAGUGGAACUAGCAUGUGGAUCCAGAACUUGAGACUGAAACACCAUGUGUGUUUUACAUUAUGUAGGUCUACAUUUUUUGCCAGCAUCACCCACUCCUCGAAUAUACUACCUCUGGCUCUCUGCUGCAUAAAUGUGGAUGGACAGUUUGGAAUCUGGUGAGAAAAGUGCAGUUUUGGGUACCCUGCCCAUGCUCACUUCAAUUUCCCCAACAUGGACUGGUCCUUGGAGCUUAACUAAUACAAACUAAAAGUUCAUGCAGGGUUCCUGGCAAAGAGCUUUAAAGUAGAACACAAAGGGGAACUCCAUGUUGCUGGUCCAUCUGUCUCCCAGCUCUUACCCCCACCCAGGCAGGCCUGGAGAAAUGACAAAAUAGACUGUGUCCUUGCCCUCUAGGAAUAAAACUACAGAAGGGAAAGUUGUUGAGGCUGUCCUUCCAGGGCCCUCAUGGCAUGGAAAGUCCAAAGAGAACACGGUUUCCCUAAGACCCAUGAAAUCGGCAGACCAGAUGAACUCAAGACCUUAAGGCUUUUAGGAAAUAAUGAGUAGCAAAACUGUACAAACGCUGUGCAACACGGAAACAUGGAGAAUGCAAGAAUUCAGACACUGUUUAAAAGAGCCAAGCAUUGGCUUUAUCAGGUAAACAGGAAAUGGUGUACACACUCCUAUAUUCAUUAAAUUUACCUUUUUUUGAGUAGUACAGUUUAUCUGAUUAUAAGGUUGAACACUGUAACAUUUAAAAAAUACUUUUAGCAUAUUUUAAUUGGAAGCUCUAGGCUCUCAAAUAUUAAAGAGUCAUGCGUAAA